UGGAACAUGUGGCUUAAUUCGAUGAUACGCUGAGGAACCUUACCUGGGCUUAAAUGUGAAGUGCAUGGAUUGGAUACAAUCAUUUCCUUCGGGACCCUUUACAAGGUGCUGCAUGGUUGUCGUCAGCUCGUGCCGUGAGGUGUCGGGUUGAGUCCCAUAACGAGCGCAACCCCUAUUGUUAGUUACCAGCGCGUAAAGGCGGGGACUCUAGCGAAACUGCCGGUGUAAACCGCGAGGAAGGUGGGGAUGACGUCAAAUCAGCACGGCCCUUAUGUCCAGGGCUACACACGUGUUACAAUGGCCGGUACAGCGGGCAGCUAGGCAGCGAUGUCAUGCUAAUCCCGAAAGCCGGUCCCAGUUCGGAUUGGAGUCUGCAACCCGACUCCAUGAAGGUGGAAUCGCUAGUAAUCGCGCAUCAGCCAUGGCGCGGUGAAUACGUUCCCGGGCCUGUACACACCGCCCGUCAAGCCAUGGAAGUCUGGGGUGCCUGAAGGCCGUAACCGCAAGGAGCGGUCUAG
rnacentral:rRNA from 1 species